rnacentral:rRNA from 1 species
GGGGGAUAUUGGACAAUGGGGGAAACCCUGAUCCAGCGAUGCCGCGUGAGGGAAGAAGGUUUUCGGAUUGUAAACCUCUGUGGACAGGGACGAUAAUGACGGUACCUGUUUAGAAAGCCACGGCUAACUACGUGCCAGCAGCCGCGGUAAUACGUAGGUGGCGAGCGUUGUCCGGAAUUACUGGGUGUAAAGGGAGCGCAGGCGGGAAGACAAGUUGGAAGUGAAAUCUAUGGGCUCAACCCAUAAACUGCUUUCAAAACUGUUUUUCUUGAGUAGUGCAGAGGUAGGCGGAAUUCCCGGUGUAGCGGUGGAAUGCGUAGAUAUCGGGAGGAACACCAGUGGCGAAGGCGGCCUACUGGGCACCAACUGACGCUGAGGCUCGAAAGUGUGGGUAGCAAACAGGAUUAGAUACCCUGGUAGUCCACACCGUAAACGAUGAUUACUAGGUGUUGGAGGAUUGACCCCUUCAGUGCCGCAGUUAACACAAUAAGUAAUCCACCUGGGGAGUACGACCGCAAGGUUGAAACUCAAAGGAAUUGACGGGGGCCCGCACAAGCAGUGGAGUAUGUGGUUUAAUUCGACGCAACGCGAAGAACCUUACCAAGUCUUGACAUCCCUUGACAGGCAUAGAAAUAUGUUUUCUCUUCGGAGCAAGGAGACAGGUGGUGCAUGGUUGUCGUCAGCUCGUGUCGUGAGAUGUUGGGUUAAGUCCCGCAACGAGCGCAACCCUUAUGGUCAGUUACUACGUAAGAGGACUCUGGCCAGACUGCCGUUGACAAAACGGAGGAAGGUGGGGAUGACGUCAAAUCAUCAUGCCCUUUAUGACUUGGGCUACACACGUACUACAAUGGCGUUAAACAAAGAGAAGCAAGACCGCGAGGUGGAGCAAAACUCAGAAACAACGUCCCAGUUCGGACUGCAGGCUGCAACUCGCCUGCACGAAGUCGGAAUUGCUAGUAAUCGUGGAUCAGCAUGCCACGGUGAAUACGUUCCCG